rnacentral:rRNA from 1 species
GGAUUAGAUACCCUGGUAGUCCACGCCGUAAACGAUGGUUACUAGCUGUGUGGACUUCGGUCUGCGUGGCUAAGCGAAAGUGAUAAGUAACCCACCUGGGGAGUACGUUCGCAAGAAUGAAACUCAAAGGAAUUGACGGGGGCCCGCACAAGCGGUGGAGCAUGUGGUUUAAUUCGAUGAUACGCGAGGAACCUUACCAGGGCUUAAAUGUAACGGGACAGAUCUAGAGAUAGAUCCUUCUUCGGACUCAUUACAAGGUGCUGCAUGGUUGUCGUCAGCUCGUGUUG